UACGUAGGGCGCAAGCGUUAUCCGGAAUUAUUGGGCGUAAAGAGCUCGUAGGCGGUCUGUCGCGUCGAAUGUGAAAACCCGGGGCUCAACCCCGGGCCUGCAGCCGAUACGGGCAGGCUAGAGUUCGGUAGGGGAGACUGGAAUUCCUGGUGUAGCGGUGAAAUGCGCAGAUAUCAGGAAGAACACCCGUGGCUAAGGCGGCUCUCUAGUACGGUACUGACGCUGAGACGCGAAAGCGUGGGGAGCGAACAGG
rnacentral:rRNA from 1 species